rnacentral:rRNA from 1 species
GAUGAACGCUGGCGGCGUGCCUAAUACAUGCAAGUCGAGCGAACAGACGAGGAGCUUGCUCCUCUGACGUUAGCGGCGGACGGGUGAGUAACACGUGGAUAUCCUACCUAUAAGACUGGGAUAACUUCGGGAAACCGGAGCUAAUACCGGAUAAUAUAUUGAACCGCAUGGUUCAAUAGUGAAAGACGGUUUCGCUGUCACUUAUAGAUGGAUCCGCGCCGCAUUAGCUAGUUGGUAAGGUAACGGCUUACCAAGGCAACGAUGCGUAGCCGACCUGAGAGGUUGAUCGGCCACACUGGAACUGAGACACGGUCCAGACUCCUACGGGAGGCAGCAGUAGGGAAUCUUCCGCAAUGGGCGAAAGCCUGACGGAGCAACGCCGCGUGAGUGAUGAAGGUCUUCGGAUCGUAAAACUCUGUUAUUAGGGAAGAACAAAUGUGUAAGUAACUAUGCACGUCUUGACGGUACCUAAUCAGAAAGCCACGGCUAACUACGUG